GGGGACUUAAGAGCUGUCUUGAUUUUUUCAAAAGCCAUAGAAUGCUCGGGCAACCACAGAAAUGCAUUCUUGAUCUUUAGAAGUCCUCUAAGGGGCUCGGCUGAAACAGCGAUCUGACUAGUGAAUUGGCCGAGCUGAUUGACUAACCCCAUGAAUGACCGGAGAUUGCGUCUAUCGUCUGGCAUUGGAAAGUGCCGGAUCGCAUUAAGCUUUUCCGGAUCAGCCUUAAUGGAGUUCCUGGAAAUUUGGUAGCCCACGAAGUCAAUACAUUUCGAGCCACCAAUUACACUCUUGCGCCCAUUAACGGUCAUUCCAUACCGGACACAACGUUCAAGAAUCUCACAGGUCAAUUGCACAAGAUCUUUAUAUUCGGGCUGGCCAGCGGCUAUUUCGUCAAUGACCUUCUGGAUGUCAAGACCCGACAUCGCCAUGUCACCUCUAUAAGAGAAAAAAUCCCUUGUUGAGAUGAAACCCAUCGGAGAACGCAAAAAUCGAAAUUUCCCAAAAGGAGUAAAAAAGGUCGUCAACUCUUGAGAUUUUUCCUCCAAUGGCAUAUGCCAAUACCCUCUUACCAAGCCCAAUUUGACAAAAUACUUAUCCGUCGGACGGAAUCCGAAUAUGGCCUCGGUAGGAGUUUUAUUGGAUGGAUUGAGCGCACAACUUGAGUAUUUAAACGGGUCAAAUCCACACAUAGCCUGAAUGAUCCAUCAGACUUGGGUACUACCACGAGAGGGUGGCACCACGUCGUUGUUAAAUCACCCACUGGCUCUGUGAUACUCUGAGCCAACAUAUCAUUCAGCAUUUUUCUUACUGGCUCCUGUUGAGGGACUGGGAUAUUACGAGCCGUAUUGAUGGUGAAAGGAGUAGCUCCCUCCUUUAAAGUUAUAACCAUGGGAUCUCCCACGAUCGGGCCACUCAUGGGCUUCAAGCAGGAUUCAUCAAACACCUCUCUGUAAAUAGAUCUGAGUUUACACUCCACGCUUUUGAAAACGUCAUCGCAAGGAUCUUGAGAAAUGAUGGGAUAUGAUGGAUUAGGGAAGUUGCGACCAACAAUUCCGAAUCCCUGACUGGCCUCCAAUCUCAGGUAUUACCUUUAUGGAGUGUGCUUUCACCUGAUUUUUGAAGCGGCAAACAGGUUGCCAAUGACCGGUUUUCCCGCAUCCAUGGCAAGUAGAUUUGAGUGCCGGACAUUCCUCACGAGUGUGUCUCUUGGAUGAUCCGCAAAAGAACACCUCUCGGAUGAUCCAGACUUCUCAAAUUUUCGACCUGACUUUCCACCGCUCCUUUUAUACGAAGACUUGGUGGCGGCGUUGACUCCCAAUUCUGCAGAAUUGAGCGAUUGGGGGGACGUGAAAGUACGGGUGCCGUCACGGAUGGUCUCACCCUCGAGAACGAAUUUCCGAGCCUCCUUAAAUGUGGACGGGUUGCGCUCCAUGAAUGUGUGCCAAUGAUCGAUCCCCUAACAUAUCGACUCCAUUGUCUCAUUGUGUUCUCCAUUGAGAACACUUGCUUCGUUUCAAGGAUAAAAGCGUUCCAUGUUUUUGGAAAAGAAAAUGGGGGAAGUUUUUGUUGCCAAGAAGUUUGUGUUUUAGGCUGAUCGAAGUAUACAUACGGUUCCUGCCCUCAUUACUUUGCACGGAAACUGAGAAACAAGCAAAGGAAGCUUGCCCUUCAGUUUGGCGAGUAGGUGCCCAAUUUGUUUGAAUCUUACGAGAUCCUUGAUUUUCAAUAUACACAGAUCUUUAAAAAUAUUGCUGGUGUGGGCUGAUCUUCGUGCAUUAGUUAUCCAUCUUACUGCCUUCUUUUGCAAAGGAACAAGUCUCUUGACAGCGCAACUUUGGCCAAAAAACUCCAGUCCGUAUUCCAAGCGGCUUUUAAUCAGGGAGUCAUAAAGUACU